GACGAACGCUGGCGGCGUGCCUAACACAUGCAAGUCGAACGGAGAUAUUAAAUGAAGCUUGCGAUUUUAAUAUCUUAGUGGCGGACGGGUGAGUAACGCGUGGGUAAUCUGCCCAUAAGUUGGGAAUAACAGUUGGAAACGACUGCUAAUACCGCAUAAGCUAAAGAGGGUGAGGGCUCUUGAUAGUAAGGGAGGCCUCUGAAUAUGCUUCCGCUUAUGGAUGAGUCCGCGUCUGAUUAGCUAGUUGGUGAGGUAACGGCUUACCAAGGCUACGAUGAAGAGCCGGACUGAGAGGGUGGCCGGGCACACUGGGAGCGAGACACGGCCCAGACUCCUACGGGAGGCAGCAGUGGGGAAUAUUGCGCAAUGGGGGAAAGCCUGACGCAGCGACGCCGCGUGAGCGAUGAAGGCCUUAGGGUUGUAAAGCUCUGUUUUAAGGGACGAAUGUCGGUGGGAGUAAUAUGCCUAUCGAAUGACGGUACCUUAAGAGGAAGCCCCGGCUAACUCCGUGCCAGCCGCCGCCGUAA
rnacentral:rRNA from 1 species